GGAUUGUGGCUCAGUGGUAGAGUACUCGCCUAGCACGGGCGGGACCCGGGUUCGAUCCUUGGCACCA
rnacentral:tRNA from 1 species